rnacentral:rRNA from 1 species
UAUUGCACAAUGGGGGAAACCCUGAUGCAGCGACGCCGCGUGGGCGAAGAAGUAUUUCGGUAUGUAAAGCCCUAUCAGCAGGGAAGAAGAAAUGACGGUACCUGAGUAAGAAGCACCGGCUAAAUACGUGCCAGCAGCCGCGGUAAUACGUAUGGGGCAAGCGUUAUCCGGAUUUACUGGGUGGAAAGGGCGCGCAGGCGGCACGGCAAGCCUGAUGUGAAAGCCCGCGGCCCAACCGCGGGACUGCAUUGGGAACUACCGGGCUGGAGUGCCGGAGAGGUAGGCGGAAUUCCUAGUGUAGCGGUGAAAUGCGUAGAUAUUAGGAGGAACACCAGUGGCGAAGGCGGCCUACUGGACGGUGACUGACGCUGAGGCUCGAAAGCGUGGGGAGCAAACAGG